UUAAAAUCCUGUGUCCCCCAAAGGGACGUACCGGUUCGAGUCCGGUCCCGGGCACUUUCAAGGUCCGAUGUUUGGGUCAGGUCCUGCGCAACGGGAUGUUGCCAAACCCCGCCAGGCCCGGAAGGGAGCAACGGUAGGCAAAUUAUUCCGUGUGACGCAGGGUCGCCUGCCCAUCAUCGGACCUUCUUUUUAA
rnacentral:misc_RNA from 1 species